UCUUCUUGAUUGAUCUUUACCAUUUCCUUUAGUUUAUAUAUGAUAAAUUAUGCAGCACUGAUACAGCAAAUUGCCAAUAAGCCUCAUGAUACAUGCAAGAAUGGAAUCAAAAUAGAAGUCAUUGUCAAGACUUGGGUAAUGGGAAAUAAAUCAAGUGGAACACGAGGAUGAAAGAAAUGUGAAGAAUGACAUAAGCGUUCAAUAUUGAUUUUAACAGUGCACUUUUGAACAAUUGAUACUUCUGAGGUUGAAGAAAAUCUUUUUGCUACAAGUGAUGCCAAGGUAAAUGAACUGAAGCAUCGUGCAGUGAUGGAAGGCCAAUGAAACAAGGACAACAUUUUCUCAUUUGAACAGUCAUGGAUUUAGUUUUAUGAAUCAAAUUCAUCUUGGACAUCGUGAUGUGUACA